rnacentral:tRNA from 1 species
GGAGAGGUGGCCGAGUCCGGCUGAAGGCAACGGUUUGCUAAACCGUCAUAGGGACAAAAUCCUUAUCCAGGGUUCAAAUCCCUGCCUCUCCG